GUUCUGAACAUUAAUCAUUUUUUUUUUUUCUGCAGUGCUUUUAGCAAAUCAAAAAUGGCAUCCGGUUCCUCUCUUGGUAAAUGAGAAAAGGAAUCUAAGGUGCUUGCCUUAGGUGUUUGCUGAUACUCAAGAACCUCUUCUAUGAAUAUAGCUAGAAUGUAAGAUCCAUGAGGAUAUGAGAUACAUGAGGACAAGGACUUUAUUUUGUUGACUACUUUUGCCCAGUUUGAAAAGUGUCUACCAUGUGGCAACACUUGAUAAAUUCUUGUUGAAUGACAGUGCAGAGCUUGAUAAAGUUAAGAAUUAAGAUUGGGGAUUGGACGAACUUAUGAAGCCCUUUAUUCAAUACUCUAUGAAGAAACUGAGGUCUGACAAGUGUGACCUGAAGCCAUUGCCUUGUGUAUUUUAAACAUUUCAAUUUGAAGUGGAUUAUGGGAGACAACUGGGAGCAUCCAGACUCGAGAGCUGUGUGGAGGGAUCUUUGCUGUGAUCCCUCUGACAACACAGGUAAUCACUCAUAAAGAAAACCACCUCACAAAUAGAACUCACCUUUUGGCCUCAGUUGGAUAGCUGAAGUAAAAAUCUUUGUCUGGUACCACUGUAAAUGUUCCAACAAUAUGCCCAAAAUAAAUCAUUUAAUUGAACAUGAUUUUACUCUUUAUGUUUUACUAUAUGAUACUUUUUAAUGAAUGGCAAGAGAAAAUAAUUGUUGGGGUGCUUC